UCAGACGUGGUGUAGCGGUAACACUGCCCAACAAAUUGAGCUGGUUGAAUAUUCUGUGGGGACGUCCCGGGUUCGAGCCCCGGCGUCUGAG